GGCUUUCGAAAAGACAACGUGCUACAGCAGCGAGACUGGCAAUCAGCCACUAUCUUUUGCCAUUGAAUUUGGCCGGACCGAAAAUAAGUGGUCGGUAUCGAGAUAGGAACAGUGACACAGGUUCGAUCUUCUCUUUCGCGUCUUAAAGACCGGUUUAUUCUCCGGCGAGCACCGGACGCAUUUCGCGGGAUCGUUAUUUCAACAACAGUAAUUCGCUGUGUAACAUAUAAAAGGUACAUAGUGAGACAUAAAACAGCGAAUAUAAGUUGAUAGUGUUUGUGUAUGUCACGAACAAUGUCUACACAUAUCGUUCUACUAAUGAACAAUAUUUCUGCGCAUACACCUAAAAGAAACGCAAACAAAUAUUUUCUGAAACCGAUAAAAUGAUGCAUCCUCGUAAUAACCUCAAUGCACAUACUGCAAAAUCAUUUAACGAAAUCUACCAUAAAUGAGUACUAGUCGAACGAAGCAUCGAACACGAUAAAGAUAAGAAAUUUCUGUAGAAAAAUUACGAGUAGCAAGAGAAUUAUUACUGGGUUCGAGCAAAACGAGAAGAUUCCCAGUCAAUUUUCCCGCGUCCAGCAAAUCUCGUACCAAAACAACGCGGACACGCUCGUUCCUGAUCUCCGGCUUUGCUCUAAAUCGAAACGCUCUGAUCAUGAUAAAAAUACACUUUCUGAGUGUGACAUACUUAGACGCGGGGAAAAAUCGAUGUCGACCUAUGUUGAGUGUCAAUGAUUAACGACUCGCUUAGCAGAAAUUGCUAGCAGCUAAGUAAAACGAGACGCUUGUCGAUAUUCUGAUUAAUUAGCUCUUGCCUCCUACCGGAACAAUCGGAUCGUAAUUCGAUAGCUCGCUGUUUCGCAACGUGCAUUUCUGAAUUUUGACCGACGUUCUUAUACAGGACAUCGCUGUAUGUAUUAUAAUUUCCACUCUUCCGUUAAAUGAUUGGUAUCAAUUAUCGGAGGUCAGGGUACGCGAGUAUCUCGACGAGUGGCAUGAAAAAACUACACUAGUUGCAAACAGUCUUUAAAAUGUUUCCUUUAAAAUAGCUUUCAGAAAAAAAAAACGAGGAUAACACGUACGCUAUGAAAAGGUAGUACUCUGACAGUGCAACUGCUUGCGGAAUGCAACUUUAAAUAAGAAGAAAAGUAUUAUUGGUAAUUUGUGGAGGCUUAACGCAGGGAUUUGAUUAACUCUAGAUCUGUUGUUCAGAUUUCUGACGGAUACUUCAUGAUAUACUUCAUAUUAUGGUAAUUUGAAGUAGUCAGUAAUGGUACUUGGAUAUUUGUAAAGAUGGAACGAGCCUGGAAUUAGUAUGCAUAUAUGUACACAUAUGUACUAGCUACAUAUGUAUUACGCUGCGUUAACUAAUCGUGACUCGGGAUAUUAUGCGAUCAGUUAUCAGGGGAGCCAUAAAUCUAGCAAAUCUCAAGAUGUGAGACGCAUAGAUACUCGAUACAUUUAUUUAUUUUACACGCAGAACAUUAAAAGGCAUCGCAUCGUAAGAUCAGGAUUAAGAACUGAUAGAGAUAACGAAAUAACCACUUAACGAAGCAGACUUUUAAUCAGUCGAUGUGGCACUACCGUAAUUAGAUUUGUUUGAACGAGGUUCCUUGUAUCGAUCUAGCUUUAUUCAUUACAUUGACCACUUUUUGUUGAAAAAUUGUAACGAUGAAUGCGAAUCCUGGGGAGCCUCAUUUUUGCACGAAAGAGAUUCUGAAUCUGUUCUUCGUUAAAAUCUUUUGCGUUUGUCAAAGAAAAACGCUUAGCUGGGAUACGAGAUAGUGACCUAAAUUCAAUAAACUUAAUAGGGCGAUAAACAUACCUGUUAUCAGAUUCGAUCGUUGGUGCUUACGUUUAAGUACGCAGCUUGUGUUUCCGUCAGGCACGAUAAUUAUCAUCCAGUUGUUUAGAUCUGAAAGAAUCGAAGAGAAGCCUAUCUUCGUGAGUACAGAAGCGGAAAGGAACUAAAAGGGGAUAAGGACUAGAACGAUCAACACUAAGGAAUCAUUGACGCUAUUCGAACUCGAGAGUCUUUCAAUGAUUCCUUCUUCUCUAUUCAACCACGAGAGUCCAAGCGAAAUACACUGUUAUGGGAUAACGAUGGAAUAUUUUUCAUCGAAGGAAGAAAGACAAAGAUGGCAGAAAGAAAACGAUCAAACUUCGGUCUUGUCAGAUGUUUCGAAAUGGUAGACAGGAACUUUGACUAACGACGGCGGAGUUCGACGAUAGCCUUGGAGUACCGUGAUCUCGCUGGCUGGUUCUGAUUUUCAGACGGAAAUUUGCGUCAAUGACGUACAACGAAGAUUUAAUAGUUUGGCAAAAAGCCCGACGCAACGUUUAUCUCUUCGGAUGUUACGGAACCUUUGACGUUGUGUCUCGUCUCUUCGCUUUUUUUUUCUUUUUUCUUUUUUAUUCAUUCAACGGUGCCGUGAGGCAACGUUUCAUAAAACUCAUCUUCACUGAUUCUUUCCUCCGGUGCGAAUAAGCAGAUCCAUAAAUUCUGCACGAGUUACAAUAACGGGAGAAAAAAGAAGAAGAAAACGAGAGGCGCGUCUUUCUCCUCGGAACACGAAAGCAUUUGGACGCAUAUAUAAAAAGUUUUCAUGUAUAUGCGCAUUGUAUACAACAUUUCGAAGCUUCGUUGACGUUGUAACGAAUCACCAACGUUAUCACAUUAUUUAUAAUUAUGCUAUUAUGUCUGCAAAAUUUGAAAUCAAUUUACAAGCAUAGACAUUCUAACGCAUUCGCCGCGAGCAUUAACUUGACGAGAAAUUAAUGCACGGCAUGAAUAGUUGUCUCGAAUACGAAAUAAGUGCCGAAGACGUUACCAUUGAAUAUUCAAGUUUCUCGAUGUAACUGACAAUUCAUUGUUCACAUACUUUUGCCAUCUCUGUGAAAUAUAUCUUUGCACUGAUGACGAGUGUAUCUUGCGGCCUCUAUACAUACACAUUUAUUUCAGAUUUGGUUCGUCAAAGCAAUAUGAUCAUGAUAUUCUCGUUGCAGGUAGACCAGUAUAUUCGCAAAAGCUUCUACGAGCGUUCAAAUACUUUCGUGAGAAACUGUACGACAUUUGUAUGGAUUCUACUCUUGUCUCUACCAUCGGAAAGUACACAAGUAAAAAAUCCAGAAAAAAGGUCACAAUAGCCGAUGUUAACUGUCUCAAGCAGCGUUUAUUUCGUUUCUUAUUAAUCAAGUCAGAGCAGUUCUUUAAAAAAUCAGUUUCUCGUUCUCGUGACUCUUGGCGAGAACGCGUUACAAGUACGCUUGUGUAUCGGAGGUUUCCAGGGGUUUCCCGACAAAUGUGGCGACAAGACGUUUUAUAAUAACUAUCCCACGUGUUUAUCACCGCGUCUACACCAUUUACACGUCUAAUCAUCGUAAACGCUCGAAUCGUACCAUUCAUGUAUAUUCUAUAUGCGUAAGUUGCGUUCUCCUGACGAGAGGAUGUACAACGACGGGUUGGUUCCAUCCCCUGUUCGUUCGUACUCGAGGAACAGGCGAGCGCGAAGAAAAAGGGGUCAAAAAUCAAAAACAAAAAGAAACAAAAAAAAAAAGAAGAUGCUGGACGCAACAAACGAACAUGAUUCUCCGCGUUUCGUUUACUAAUUUAACGUAUUUUUAUCUACACGUACGUGUACGCGCGCGCACCAAAUGCGUAUCUAUUAUAACGUCGUACGCGCGCGUGUCAGAGAUCAAAGGUUUUGCAUUGCCGCUUAAGAAAUCAGGUUUUUUUACCCUACGAAACUUAACGUUCUUAAUCGCGCGUAGGCUGCGGAUUAUUAUGCGUUUAUUUUCUAUACGAAGGUGAACUUCGAAGGUGAAAUCCGAAGGUACCGAAGGAUGCGUAGAAUGCGUACAAAGCACGAAACCGUGUAAAGUCUGCAAAGCGGAAUACCAGCUACGAUAUUUAACGAGUGAAACGAAUUGCUAUUUAGAUUCCAUUUCUUCGGGUGUAUUCGUAAAUACGUGAAAUUGUAUAAGAAUCCGCAGUCUAAUUUAUCUGUGGUAGAGCGAAGCACAGGGUGGAGAGAACAAAUUAACGAACAAAAGACGGUUCAUACGCAUACUCUCUCGAGACAGGACUUAUCGGAAGCGUGCAGUAGCUCGAUGGGGAUGGUUAUUAUCAAGCUGCCGCUGCAACUAAUCCACGAAAUGAGAACGACGAUCCGUUCAUGAAAAAAAAAAAAAAAA